rnacentral:tRNA from 1 species
GCCCCGAUGGUGAAACCGGUAGACGCAGGGUGCUUAAAACGCUCCGGCCUUGUGCCAUGCGAGUUCGAGCCUCGCUCGGGGCACCA